rnacentral:lncRNA from 1 species
CAGGCCUUAAAAUAUCUUUUACAGGGCCGUCUGACAAAAUGUCCGGUGACGUUGAAUUUGGGUCGGACAUAUGUCCGAUGACCUUCAGUUCAGUUUGACUCGGAAAUAAGUCUGAAUGACACAAAUGAAUAAAUGGUAAAUGUUGUAAAGAUAUUAAAUAAUUUGUUCCUUUCAUACUUAUUUCCAAGCCAAAAUUAACUUGCUUUCCAGAACAGCAGUAUUAAAAAAAGACUUCGACAACUUAAGCCCGUUUUCCACUUCACCAUUUCGCUCGCCGCCCCACGCUCGACUACGUUAAUUAAAACAACAUUUCCAGUUCACCUUUUAUACAAUAGUACUCUGAUUUUCCAUUUAACAUACAAGCCUCUAGUCCUGGGCUAGGGUACAUUUUGAUUUACGUCGGACAAAGCUACAGUUCGGUCGGACACCAAUACACUCGGGUCGGACAAACAAUAAACCUCAGUUUCACCUUGGUCGGACAGAAUGUCCGGUGGUUUCCUUUCUACGUCGGACAAUUUCAUGAAUGGGUCGGACAAUGUCCGUGACCGACCGAUAUUUUAAAGCCUGGUAUGCAUGUAUUUUUAAUAAAAAGGCAAAACAAUUUAAGCUAUAUGUAUAUCAGGGCGUAUUUUUGUGAAAGAGGUAAUUACACGCAUCAAGGCAUUAAUAGAAGUUCUCCUGUUUGAU